rnacentral:rRNA from 1 species
GACGGAGGAUGCAAGUGUUAUCCGGAAUCACUGGGCGUAAAGCGUCUGUAGGUGGUUUAAAAAAGUCUACUGUUAAAGCUUGAAGCUUAACUUCAAAAAUGCCGUAGAAACUUUUAAACUUGAGUAUGGUAGGGGUAGAGGGAAUUUCCAGUGGAGCGGUGAAAUGCGUAGAUCUUGGAAAGACCACCAAUGGCGAAGGCACUCUACUGGGCCAUAACUGACACUAAGAGACGAAAGCUAGGGGAGCAAAUGGG